CCAUCCUCUGUUGCUGGUGCACUCCAGUGGUGACCUGAGAGUAAACCCCCGCUUAGGAAAUAGGGUUGUUCUUCAUGUGGAUGACGCUGUGCCGAAAGCAUGGGGACAGUC
rnacentral:snoRNA from 1 species